rnacentral:lncRNA from 1 species
AUGUUAAUAAAAAGGUCUUAUCAGAAAAAAAGACAUGGCUGUCUUCCUUGGGAUCUGGGCUGCUUCGAGAUUCUUUGAAAAUCAUGCUUUUCAUAUGUGUUGUAUUAAUUUUUCCCCCAGUGUUGUCCAUCCAGAUGCGACGAAAUCGCCUAGAAGCUGGAAUGAGACAGAACCUGUAUAAAGGUUUCACGCAGACACUGCAGAGGGCGUUCAAUGACAGCAACGUCCGUGUUCAGUUGGAAAAAGAUAUCUGCACGCCUUCUAAUGUGACUGUGGGCUACUACAUCUUGAGAGGGAAGACCGUGUUGGUGGCCUCUGUUGUGAUGGACACAUUAGCUUCCUAUGGUUUUGACAAGCUACUGAGUGACAUCAGAGAGUAUGUUCCUGUGGUUUUGGCCAUCCCCAGUCCUGUGGCCCCCUGGCUGCCCAGCCUCGGCAUCCACCUGCAGCUCAAAACGGUUCUCAGGUUUGUCGGACCAACAGAUAACAUCAAGUCUUGCGGGUUCAUCCAAAUGAUGGAGCAACGAUUGGAAAAUGUGUUUGCUGAAGCGCAGGAGAAAGUGGAGGAUUCUUAUGGGACUCUUUCUGUUGAGAUUCUGAACACGUAUCAAACGGGGAAUUCGUUGGCAGUCACUCUGGUGUAUGUGGUGUGGAAUGGUAGCACUCCGUUGAACGGUACUGUGUCCAGCGGUCUCCUUAACCAGCUCACUGCCGAGCUGGUGGGCUACUUUCUCUUCUUCCCCCCUCUGAUCAUCGCUGAGCGUAAGUUUCAGCUUGUUUACUGCUUGAUGUUACAUUUACUUGCUGCAUGGCUUGUGUUUACAUGUUAAUGCACAUUGAAAUAGUAGUUCAUGUUUAUUUCUGUUUAAAUCCAUGAGUUUGUUUUCCUUGAGGCAGAGAUCCUCAAUUUUGGUUGAUCCUAAAGACAUUUUCCAAGGACUCAUUACAUUCUACUUUUUGAUGGGUAGUUGAUAUGAAUAACUUUUGGGAAGUUGACUUGUUCUGCUGGGUGACAUGCUAUACUCCAUCUAAAACAAUUUUAAACAGCUAUAAUUAUUUGAUAUCAGUAUUGUGAUAAUAAUCUCACCUUUAAAGUCCAGAUGUGCUUCAAAUGAAAUCAUGUAGAUAUGAAUGAAAUUUCAUGUAGAUUCACAUUAAU